AUGAAUUCUUAUGUUUUCUUUUAAGUAUUUCUCAUUUCAUAAAGAUUGUAUAAAACAAUGAGCAAGCAGUGAAUUUUUAACGCUUUGUUCAAACAUUCAGAAUCGGAGAACAAAAGAUUUAUUUUUGAAAACAAGAACUGUGGUUUAUACAAUUCCAGACAUGAAUCUGUUUUCAAUUACUGAAAGUAUUUCCACUUCAGUGGAAAGGGAUCAAGUCUACAGCAACACAAUUUUGGGGCAAUGAAUGCAAUUAUAUUAAGCUUUAUAAACAGAAUGACUUUGUGACAGGAUCACAUAGUCUGCAUAGCCCAUGUCUGUUAUGAGAGAAAAGAAAAGAGAAUUAUAAAUAAGAGCACUGAAUUUGCAAGUGUGGAGUGGAAAAUAUGAUAAGCUUCUCCUUUCAAGUAGCAUAAUAAAUGUCCUAUAUUUCCUGGCAAUACUUAGUAUUUAUUUCUAAAUCAACAUUUUCCGAUAUUAUAUAAAAGUACACUAUAUUUUACGUUUAUAAAGUUGGGUUUAUAUAUUUAAUUACUUUUUUCUCUUUUCUGCUAUUUAAAAAAACAGCAAUAUCCUAAACAGUGCUUUACGGUGAGGUCCGUUAUUUUUACACGCAGCCGAUUCCUUCAUUAGAAAUAUUUACUACUCUUUGAGAAUGCCACGACACGUUCGCAAUGAUCAAGACCAAAAGCCUAAGGAACUCAACCCAAUUUUGGCUACAUCAGAAAGAGAUGGAAGACUAGAUGUGCUAGUCUAAGGCUUGAAUGCAAUAAUUUACGCUUUUUUUUAUCAUCACACCAGUUCAAGAAUUCUUUGAAUGCUAAAGUGCUGUACGAAAAGAGCCGCUUAAGUAACCAGAGAGCUUUUUGUAAGAGCAUUAGCACGUUGAGAAAUAGGUAAAGUUAAGCUUUGCCUUUGCUAGAUCUCCCUCUAGCUCUUCAAGGGUUAACAAGCCACCUCAUUUCCAACGCUAAUAUUGCCUCUGCACCGAUUCCAAGAGAAGAGCAGCCUCCUCCCAUUCUAACGCCGCAUCGGAACAAACACACAUAAAAGGAGGAGAAGAAAAAACCGCACAUUUACCUACAGCAGCACUAGCGCCUCUGUUUUGAAUAUUUUAAGUGGAUCUUCUCGAAAUGUGCAGAGACUGGCGGAGCCCCCGACCCCAAGAUAAGCUAUCGCGCUGGAGGACUGCAUGAGAGCAGACCUAUUGCAUAAAAAGGAGCCGGAACAUGGAAAGCUAUAGAAAGCAAAAUAAAAUUCCUCUUUUGUGGCAGAGCAAAAAUGUAAAAUAAUAAAAAGGAUAACAAAUUAAAUCUC